UGCAGUGUUACCUGCACCCAGCAGCCUUCUCCUUGAUGGGAUGUCAAAAAGCAGUGCUACACCAGCGCAGCAUUUGGCAUCCUUGGUUUUCAGUCUGCUGUCUGUUAAACCUGGUAUUUUUGCUGAAACAGUC